rnacentral:rRNA from 1 species
AUUGAACGCUGGCGGCAGGCCUAACACAUGCAAGUCGAACGGUAACAGGAAGCAGCUUGCUGCUUUGCUGACGAGUGGCGGACGGGUGAGUAAUGUCUGGGAAACUGCCUUAUGUAGGGGGAUAACUACUGGAAACGGUAGCUAAUACCGCAUAACGUCGCAAGACCAAAGUGGGGGACCUUAUGGCCUCUUGCCCUCGUAUUUUCCCAGAUGGGAUUAGCUAGUAGGUGGGGUAACGGCUCACCUAGGCGACGAUCCCUAUCUGGUCUGAGAGGUUGACCAGACACACGGGAACUGAGACACGGUCCAGACUACUACGGGAGGAAGCAGUGGGGAAUAUUGCACAAUGGGCGAAAGCCUGAUGCAGAAAUGCCGCGUGUAUGAAGAAGGACUUAGGGUUGUAAAGUACUUUCAGCGGGGAGGAAGGGAGUAAAGUUAAAACAUAUGCUGAUUGACGGUACCAGAAGAAGAAGCAACGGCUAACUCCGUG